GUGCUCCCUUCAGCAGCACACAUACUAAAAUUGGAAUGAUACAGAGAAGAUUAGCAUGGUCCUUGCACAAGGAUGACACACAAAUUCAUGAAGCAUUCAAUAUUUUU
ensembl:snRNA Gm25207 predicted gene, 25207